UUAAUACUCCCUCCGUUUCAAAUUACUUGUCGUAGGUAUGGAUGUAUCUAGAUGUAUUUUAUUUCUAGAUACAUCCAUUUCUGUGACGAGUAAUUUGGAACGGAGGGAGUAGAUU
rnacentral:pre_miRNA from 1 species